UACGGAGGGUGCGAGCGUUGUCCGGAAUCACUGGGCGUAAAGGGCGCGUAGGCGGCACGGAUAGUCGGCGGUGAAAGCCCGGAGCUCAACUCCGGGUCGGCCGUCGAUACUUCCGGGCUUGAGCACUGUAGAGGCAGAUGGAAUUCCGGGUGUAGCGGUGGAAUGCGUAGAGAUCCGGAAGAACACCGGUGGCGAAGGCGGUCUGCUGGGCAGUUGCUGACGCUGAUGCGCGACAGCGUGGGGAGCAAACAGG
rnacentral:rRNA from 1 species